rnacentral:rRNA from 1 species
GACGAACGCUGGCGGCGUGCCUAAUACAUGCAAGUCGAACGCUGAAGCUUGGUGCUUGCACCGAGCGGAUGAGUUGCGAACGGGUGAGUAACGCGUAGGUAACCUGCCUGGUAGCGGGGGAUAACUAUUGGAAACGAUAGCUAAUACCGCAUAAGAGUAGAUGUUGCAUGACAUUUGCUUAAAAGGUGCAAUUGCAUCACUACCAGCUGGACCUGCGUUGUAUUAGCUAGUUGGUGAGGUAACGGCUCACCAAGGCAACGAUACAUAGCCGACCUGAGAGGGUGAUCGGCCACACUGGGACUGAGACACGGCCCAGACUCCUACGGGAGGCAGCAGUAGGGAAUCUUCGGCAAUGGACGGAAGUCUGACCGAGCAACGCCGCGUGAGUGAAGAAGGGUUUCGGAUCGUAAAGCUCUGUUGUAAGAGAAGAACGAGUGUGAGAGUGGAAAGUUCACACUGUGACGGUAUCUUACCAGAAAGGGACGGCUAACUACGUG